rnacentral:lncRNA from 1 species
AACGGCGAAGGAGGUCGCCGCUUCUGUGGAGAAGCAGAGGCUGGGUGGAGGCGAAGGUGAAUGGCAAAGUAGCGACGAGCGAAGUUACCUGUGGCACGAGCCGAACUAGAGGCAACGCGGCGGAGUCUUGUGAACGAGGUAGAAAAUAUGAAUGGUAGGUAAGAGAGUCGGCGUGAGGCUGGAGGCUUACGUUUUCUGUUGACGAUGACUGCAUUAGGUUAUUUCGUACUCUCUACUCGAUUGCCGUGCGAGC